UAAUAGUGACGCAUAUACAAGCCAAGGACCCAUCAUCCAUCCAAGGUUAGUGGGCCAAGCAACAACAUCACCUCUGCGGAUAUCCAUGUGGCACCAUGCAUCUGCAGCAGCUUUGAAAGGGGUUGCAUUGGUCCAUGGAAUUGCCUUCGGAUCCCCUGUAGUUCCAGAUGAGAAGAGGAUGUUUGUAAAUGCUUCUAUUGGUUGUUCUACAGCAGCAAAUUCAUCUCCUCUUAU
rnacentral:misc_RNA from 1 species